CGCCUGCUUGGGCUCUCCGGAGCGUCACCCCUGUCCCCACGCAGCCCAGGCCGAGACAGGGCGGCGGAGCGGAGGCGGGGCGCUGGUUUCGCGCUUCCCGAGGGAGCGAAGGGCGGGCUCCGGGCGUCCCGCGGGGCGCGGGUGAGUCAGAAGCCCGACCACCCGCGCGGCCCGACCCGGGGGAUCCGCGAGAGGGCGGACCAGGCGGAUGGCAAAGCACAAGGCCCCGCUGGGCGGCGGGCACCGGCUCCAGGUUUCCGGGAGGAGGAAGUGCGAGUCUGGGCCGAGGGCUUCCAGGCGAAAGGGCCGGGACUCCUGCAGAGGGGCCUCGGGCCCGCGGGCUCCCUGCUCUGCAGAGCUGGGAUCGCACCUACUUGCGGAGCUGGAGGAGCCGGCGCUGGCACUCGGGGGACAGGCGCUCUAGGUCCGAGUCCUCACUGGCCUCCCCCUCCCACGCUAACAUUUGUUGAACUCUGCCACAGACUUUACACAUGGUGGGCCUUUGGGAAUGAGACCAGGCGGAUUCCCCAACCUCCACCCUGACCCCGCAGAGCCUUGAAAAGAAAUAAGCAGGAUCUUUCUUCGGAUCACUCCACUUCUUGUCUGCACUUUGGCCUUGCGGCUAAUACUGUGACCUUGAGCUGCUCCCAAGACUUUUUGGUCCUCCACGGUGUGUAAAAUAAGCCAGUUCUCUCCAUUUGGGCAUAUCAUUCUGUUUAACUCGGCCAAGUAGUCCUACGGAAUGGCUGUGUGGUGCAAGAUCUCUACAGAGUGAUGGCAUACAGUGAUGGGCCAAACUGCCAGCUUGCGUGGUUGACUGGGAAAGCAGGCAUACAAAUGUGAUCACUAAAGAUUCCUGGGGGGGGGGGUUGGAAGCAUGCAAGAGGGAAAUUUUGCUGGUCUCCAAUUCACACACAUACAGACACACACACACACACACACACCAUCUGGCCCCCCAUAGAAGUCCCCCUUCCCCAACACACACGUUCAUUCACCCUAAACAGGAAGUGAUGGCUGAGUCCUAGUUAACUAGCUGGAGGGUGGGAUAUUGGAAGCAAUAGGAAGCCUUUGAUAGGGCCUUGAAGGUUAGAGCGAGUGUGGGACAUAAAUGAACUGCAGCAAAUCUAAUACUUCUGGAGCUUGCAGGGUUUGGGAGGAAGGCUGAAGAUAGAGAAGGGAUCAGGUUAUGAGUAUUUAUAAAUAAACCCUGAUAAGGACUGUGGACUUCUCACUGAGAUUAUUGGGGAGACUAGAUAGAUAGAAAAGAAGGUCGGGAUUGACAUAUACACACUCCUAUAUAUAAAAUGGGUAACAAGGACCUGAUGUAUAGCACAGAGUAAUCUGCUCAAUACUGUGUAAAGACCUAUGUGGAAAAAGAAUCUGAAAAGGAAUGGAUAUAUGUAUCUAUAUAACUGAUUUACUUUGCAGUACACCUGAAACUGUAACUCAACUAUACUCCAAUAGAAUUUAUUUUUAAAAAAUACUAAAAAGAAGGAAAA
rnacentral:lncRNA from 1 species